CUGAUUUGAUCUAAUAGCUGAAAGAGGUUGAAAUCAGAUUAUAUACACCACUCCACUAAAGGAAAUGAGUAAAACCCCCUUAAGAGAUUUGAUAAAAUAACAAGGAAAACGAAAUUCCAAAAUAUUUACAAUACUCAACUGAAACGGGUUGCCUUACCUAUCCAUUAAGAAUGCUAUGAAUGAUUCUCUUUGAUUACACUGCAAAACAUGGAGCCAAGCAGGGAUAAUACCAGAUAGAAUACAAAGGAGAGGCAAUAUUAGCACAAAUCAUCUCAAUGGACAACCUUAAAUAGGCUUUCUUCCGACAUCAGCGAAUACAUAUACCCCUGCUGUGCUGAGAUGUCCAGCUUGAGAGUAAUUAUGGGACACCAUAACUAUGUUCCCAGCCAGCAUCGUCAGGAUGCAGAUCUUACCAACCCAUCAGUGUCCGUGUCACUCUGUCCGCUAUUUCUUUUCCGGCUCGAGCACUUGCUAAUGGACCUUUAGAAUUUUCAUCCAAGAGAAAUCUGUAGACUUCCCACUGUUGAUCCUUAGUUGAGUGUCUUCCAAUUUCAGCAGAGAAAAUGCACACUCCCAAUGUUUUCAGAGCAAAAGUAACGUCAUAGAAAACACGAGGUCUUCCCCUCCCACAUAAUUCAACAGGGUUAGCAACC
rnacentral:misc_RNA from 1 species